UACGAAGGGGCUAGCGUUGCUCGGAAUCACUGGGCGUAAAGGGUGCGUAGGCGGGUCUUUAAGUCAGGGGUGAAAUCCUGGAGCUCAACUCCAGAACUGCCUUUGAUACUGAAGAUCUUGAGUUCGGGAGAGGUGAGUGGAACUGCGAGUGUAGAGGUGAAAUUCGUAGAUAUUCGCAAAGAACACCAGUGGCGAAGGCGGCUCACUGGCCCGAGUACUGACGCUGAGGCACGAAAGCGAUGGGGAGCAA
rnacentral:rRNA from 1 species